GGCCAAGUGAGAAAUGCAUGAAUUCUAACCCAAAACUCCUGAGUUUCUGCCACAUGAAUUGCUGUUUCAGAAACUAGUUAUGAAUCAUUUGCAGCCCGACAUCAACUGAAAGACCAGUUAACUUAGUCCUUUAUCUGGAGUCUCCCAAUUCUAAUGUUUUCUUUUCUUUUUUUUUUUAAGAUUUUAUUUAUUUAUUUAUAGAGACACAGAGAGAGAAUGAGAGGCAGAGACACGGCAGAGGGAGAAGCAGGCUCCAUGCAGGGAGCCCAACGUGGGACUCGAUCCAGAGUCUCCAGGAUCACUCCCCGGGCUGCAGGAAGCGCUAAACCACUGCAUCACCGGGGCUGCCCUGGAGUCUCCCAAUUCUAAAUCAAUAAUUUAUGAGAUCCGCAUGCAACUAAGUUAUGUGAACCUGAUGCUCUGCCUCACAGCAAAGCCUUCACAGUGUUCUCAUUUAAGCUUUGGAGGUGUUGACUCCAUGGAUCUGGGUGGAACAGGAUUCUCAGACUUCAGGCAGCCCCUCAUUCUCCAGGACUUCGCAGGAGGCUUCCUGAUUUCAGCUGGAUUUGAACCAGGAGGCUGGAGAAGCUGGGAGCUGCCCUGGAUCCUAAGGAUGAAGCUUGCACAGAGAAAGGAAAUUAAUUUUGUUCAGAAAAACUGUUCAGUUAACAUGACCCUCUGGCAGCAGCUGUGAUUACAUCUCCCUAGCCAGAUGUACUGGGGGAAGAGUUCCAUAAGGCAUCCAGAUGUGUCCACAGUGAAGACUGAGGGCAUCGACAUCUCACCCAGAUGCUGGGUGCAGAGCCCGGGCCUCCGUUAUUUUCCUUGCUCUCCUGCUUUGUCAGGGCAGUAACGGUUCAGCCUCAUCCAGCCUGUCUCCCACCGGGCCAAAGGAAGGGUGCGAGUCCCCAUUCAGCCACCAGGUGGCAGAUGACCAUUCCCAGGAAGGAAGCUUAGCUGAGUGGAUGCCCUGAAUCUGAGGCUAUUGAAAUUUAAAAAGAAAAGAGAGGGGACAGGGGGUCUGUUAUCUGAGCCAUGGCCUAAAGUCAAGGUCUCCUUACAGAAGAGGAAUUGCCAAUGCUGGGGCUUCCUUUGUUUCUCUGCUUUUUCUCAAAAAACGGUACACUAUGUUGACAGUGGACUCACCUUCCGCCAUCUGGUCUGUUUUGAUAGAAGUUACAUCCAAUUCCAGGAAUGGUGCAGCAACUGUAAAACAAGUAUGCUCAGAGUGUCGCGGUGCCAGAAGUUCACAGUGAGGCAGGAUGGCAGCACUGACCGAAAUUCACGACAAUACCUCCCCAAAGAGCGGUUGUGAGAAAUAAAUGGGAGAACACAGGUCCA
rnacentral:lncRNA from 1 species